rnacentral:rRNA from 1 species
AUUGAACGCUGGCGGCAUGCCUAACACAUGCAAGUCGAGCGAGCGUCGGACGUGUGAGUAAUGUCGUGGAAACUGCCUGAUGGAGGUGGAUAACUAGUGUAAAUGGUAGCUACUAUCGCAUACCAUCAGAUUUGCCCAGAUGGGAUUAGCUAGUAGUUGGGGUAAUGGCUAACCUAGGCGAUGAUCCAUAUCUGGUCGGAGAGGUUGACCAGCCACACUGGAACUGAGAAAGGGUCAAGACUCCUCCGGGAGGCAGCAGUGGGGAAUAUUGCACAAUGGGCGAAAGCCUGAUGCAGCAAUGCGGAGUGUGUGAAGAAGGCCUUCGGGUUGUAAAGCACUUUCAGCGAGGAGGCGGUACUCGCAGAAGAAGCAACGGCUAACUCCGUGCCAGCAGCCGCGGUAAUUC